rnacentral:rRNA from 1 species
GAUGAACGCUAGCGGCAGGCUUAACACAUGCAAGUCGAGGGGUAUAUAGUUUUCGGAUUAUAGAGACCGGCAAACGGGUGCGGAACACGUACGCAAUCUGCCUCUGUCUUGGGGAUAGCCCAUAGAAAUGUGGAUUAAUACCCAAUAGUAUUAUAGAGUGGCAUCACUUAGUAAUUAAAAGAUUUAUUGGACAGAGAUGAGCGUGCGUCCCAUUAGCUAGUUGGUGCGGUAACGGCGUACCAAGGCGACGAUGGGUAGCUGGUGUGAGAGCACGACCAGCCACACGGGGCACUGAGACACGGGGCCCGACUCCUACGGGAGGCAGCAGUGAGGAAUAUUGGUCAAUGGGCGAAGCCUGAACCAGCCAUGCCGCGUGAAGGAUGAAGGCGUUCUGCGUUGUAAACUUCUUUAUUUGGGUAGAAAAUUGUGGUUUCUACUGCAACCGACGGUACCAGAUGAAUAAGCACCGGCUAACUCCGUAGCCAGCAGCCGCGGUAAU